AAAAAUGUCAGCUCAGCUUUUGAAUCAGAUGCCGCUGGUCUUGUCUCCAUAGCGACGGACCUGAUCAACAACCUGCUGCAGGUGAAGUUGAGAAAGCGCUACAGUGUGGACAAGUCCCUCAGUCACCCGUGGCUGCAGGACUUUGACACCUGGAAGGACCUUCGCGACUUGGAGACGCGACACGGCGACCGUUACAUCACGCACCAGAGCGACGACGCGCACUGGGAAGAUUUGGGUGGCGACAGAAGCCGGCAACGCGCAACCAUACCUUCCCUGGAUCGUCAAGACAAGGAGGACCAGCAGGACUCCUAGCCCUCAAGACGGGUUUCUCAAACAUUUGCAAUCCGGGGAGACGUUUUUGCAAGGAGCACCCCCAGAAUCCGAACUCAGAUGCAACAUACUUGCCAUGCGCAGCCCUAAAUACCAUUUGGGAAUUAAAAAGAAGAAAAAAAAUACAGCAGUGUUCAUUGACUAGCAACCAGUCCAUUGUUUGUCUGUAUAUUUGAGUAGCGACCAGUCCCACGAUAGCCACCUCUCAUCCUAAUGAAG